GACAGAGGGUGCAAACGUUGUUCGGAAUUACUGGGCGUAAAGCGCGUGUAGGCUGCUCGGAAAGUCGGAUGUGAAAGCCCUGGGCUCAACCCAGGAAGUGCACUCGAAACUUCCGAGCUGGAGUCCUGGAGAGGAAGGCGGAAUUCUCGGUGUAGAGGUGAAAUUCGUAGAUAUCGAGAGGAACACCGGCGGCGAAGGCGGCCUUCUGGACAGUGACUGACGCUGAGACGCGAAAGCGUGGGGAGCAAACAGG
rnacentral:rRNA from 1 species